UACGAGGGGGGCGAGCGUUGUUCGGAAUUACUGGGCGUAAAGCGUGCGCAGGCGGUCUUCCAAGUCAGUGGUGAAAGCCCGGAGCUCAACUCCGGAACUGCCAUUGAAACUGUAAGACUUGAGGAUGAGAGAGGUGAGUGGAAUUCCCAGUGUAGAGGUGAAAUUCGUAGAUAUUGGGAAGAACACCGGUGGCGAAGGCGGCUCACUGGCUCAUUACUGACGCUCAGGCGCGACAGCGUGGGGAUCAAACAGG
rnacentral:rRNA from 1 species